AAAGAUGGUUUGUAAGUAAAGCAGUGGAGUGUUUGAUUGAGCGUUAAAUCUAUCACAAAUUGGCGACGAGGAUAGCUGUCAAUUCGUGUUUUCGGGGGGAAUCGGUGGUUUACUAACCAAAUUCAGUAACGGUGUGUGCGUGAAAGCGGUGGCACUGCGUCUGGAGGGCAGGAGAGAAAUUUUGCAUAAAACAGCUUACCAGUGAGUUGUGUUAUAGUCUGUGUCUAGUAAACAGAAAGAAACAACUGAACAAGCUCUGUGCCUAGUAAACAGAACAGUCCGCGUCUAGUAAGCAGAGGAAAAUUGCAAAGUCUACGAGUUGGUGGAAAACUUGACAGAAGAGCCCGCAUCUAGAUAGCGGUAGAAAUUUAUUGGUUGCAAAUUGGAAGCUCUGUGUCGAAAGGAAAACUUUUGGCUAGGUGGAGUUUGUUAUACUGCGUCUGAAUAGUGAUUAUUACGGUGCUGCAUUCGUGAAGCAAUGGAUGAAAACAAAUUCUUUUCUAAGCUGCCGGCAUUUACAAUCGCCGGAGUUCCUCUAACGGAUCGCAGGAAUAGAUGAAACACUUGGAAAAGAGGGUCUGUUUAAGAGCAACGAAAGUAAAAGAUGGAACAGAGAAGAAGGAUAUGCUUCUGGCGUGCGGCUCGUUUGAACUUCAAGACAUUUUCUUCAAUAUCCCUGGAGCUGACGUGGCUGCUAAUGAAGAAGAAGGAAUCGAUCCAUAUGUCGUGGCGAUAGGGAAACUGGAUGAUUAUUUCGCACCCCAAAGGCAUAAGGCUCACGAACGCUUUCUGUUUUGGGCUAUGAAGCCAGAGCCGGAGGAAACACUGGAAAAAUUCUUAAUGCGUGCGCAAGCUCAUGGGUCGAAAUGUAAUUUUGGAAAAUCCGCUUCGGAAAGUGCCGGUAUAGCGAUUGUGGACAAGAUGCUCUAGUUUGUGCCCAAUCAGCUGCGGGCAAAGUUGCUUCAGGAGAAAGAUCUGACGCUAGAGGAAGUGAUUAAACAAGUAAACUCAUUUGAGACCUCACGUGUGGCUAGCGAUCAAAUGGCUGGUCAAAGUAGUCCGCUGCAAGCAAACAUACCUGCUGAUAAUAUUCAGUAUGUUGCGACGCCCUGUAGAUUCUGUGCUCGUUUCCACGGAAAACAGCUUUGUCCGGCACGAGAUAAAACAUGUGCGAACUGCCAAAAACGUGGUCAUUAUGCUGCGGCUUGCUACUCAUCGCCGGGACAGGUGU